CUGCAAGUCGACGCUGAAGCCGACAGCUUGCUGUUGGUGGAUGAGUGGCGAACGGGUGAGUAACACGUGAGUAACCUGCCCCUGAUUUCGGGAUAAGCCUGGGAAACUGGGUCUAAUACCGGAUACGACCUCCUGACGCAUGUUGGGUGGUGGAAAGUUUUUCGAUCGGGGAUGGGCUCGCGGCCUAUCAGCUUGUUGGUGGGGUAAUGGCCUACCAAGGCGACGACGGGUAGCCGGCCUGAGAGGGCGACCGGCCACACUGGGACUGAGACACGGCCCAGACUCCUACGGGAGGCAGCAGUGGGGAAUAUUGCACAAUGGGGGAAACCCUGAUGCAGCGACGCAGCGUGCGGGAUGACGGCCUUCGGGUUGUAAACCGCUUUCAGCAGGGAAGAAGCGAAAGUGACGGUACCUGCAGAAGAAGUACCGGCUAACUACGUGCCAGCAGCCGCGGUAAUACGUAGGGUACGAGCGUUGUCCGGAAUUAUUGGGCGUAAAGAGCUCGUAGGUGGUUGGUCACGUCUGCUGUGGAAACGCAACGCUUAACGUUGCGCGUGCAGUGGGUACGGGCUGACUAGAGUGCAGUAGGGGAGUCUGGAAUUCCUGGUGUAGCGGUGAAAUGCGCAGAUAUCAGGAGGAACACCGGUGGCGAAGGCGGGACUCUGGGCUGUAACUGACACUGAGGAGCGAAAGCAUGGGGAGCGAACAGGAUUAGAUACCCUGGUAGUCCAUGCCGUAAACGUUGGGCACUAGGUGUGGGGGACAUUCCACGUUCUCCGCGCCGUAGCUAACGCAUUAAGUGCCCCGCCUG
rnacentral:rRNA from 1 species